UGCCAAGCGCCUGUUAACAAAUUAAUGCCCAAUCCCGUCAGGUCCGGAAGGAAGCAGCGGUUAGUAUUUAAUUUGUGUAGCAGGUCAGCUUGGCAUUU
rnacentral:SRP_RNA from 1 species